rnacentral:rRNA from 1 species
UACGUAGGGUGCAAGCGUUGUCCGGAAUUAUUGGGCGUAAAAGAGCUCGUAGGCGGUUUGUUGCGUCGGCUGUGAAAUCCCGAGGCUCAACCUCGGGUCUACAGUCGAUACGAGCAAACUAGAGUGUUUGCAGGGGGAGACUGGGAAUUCCUGGUGUAGCGGUGAAAUGCGCAGAUAUCAGGAGGAACACCGGUGGCGAAGGCGGGACUCUGGGCCGAUAACUGACGCUGAGGAGCGAAAGCGUGGGGAGCGAACAG